GGGUUGUGAGGUUAAGCGACUAAGCGUACACGGUGGAUGCCCUGGCAGUCAGAGGCGAUGAAGGACGUGCUAAUCUGCGAAAAGCGUCGGUAAGGUGAUAUGAACCGUUAUAACCGGCGAUGUCCGAAUGGGGAAACCCAGUGCAAUUCGUUGCACUAUCGUUAACUGAAUACAUAGGUUAACGAGGCGAACCGGGGGAACUGAAACAUCUAAGUACCCCGAGGAAAAGAAAUCAACCGAGAUUCCCCCAGUAGCGGCGAGCGAACGGGGAGCAGCCCAGAGUCUGAAUCAGCUUGUGUGUUAGUGGAACGGUCUGGAAAGUCCGACGGUACAGGGUGAUAGUCCCGUACACCAAAAUGCACAGGCUGUGAACUCGAAGAGUAGGGCGGGACACGUGGUAUCCUGUCUGAAUAUGGGGGGACCAUCCUCCAAGGCUAAAUACUCCUGACUGACCGAUAGUGAACCAGUACCGUGAGGGAAAGGCGAAAAGAACCCCGGCGAGGGGAGUGAAAAAGAACCUGAAACCGUGUACGUACAAGCAGUGGGAGCACCUUCGGGUGUGACUGCGUACCUUUUGUAUAAUGGGUCAGCGACUUAUAUUCUGUAGCAAGGUUAACCGUAUAGGGGAGCCGCAGGGAAACCGAGUCUUAACUGGGCGUUAAGUUGCAGGGUAUAGACCCGAAACCCGGUGAUCUAGCCAUGGGCAGGUUGAAGGUUGGGUAACACUAACUGGAGGACCGAACCGACUAAUGUUGAAAAAUUAGCGGAUGACUUGUGGCUGGGGGUGAAAGGCCAAUCAAACCGGGAGAUAGCUGGUUCUCCCCGAAAGCUAUUUAGGUAGCGCCUCGUGAAUUCAUCUUCGGGGGUAGAGCACUGUUUCGGCUAGGGGGUCAUCCCGACUUACCAACCCGAUGCAAACUACGAAUACCGAAGAAUGUUAUCACGGGAGACACACGGCGGGUGCUAACGUCCGUCGUGAAGAGGGAAACAACCCAGACCGCCAGCUAAGGUCCCAAAGUCAUGGUUAAGUGGGAAACGAUGUGGGAAGGCACAGACAGCCAGGAUGUUGGCUUAGAAGCAGCCAUCAUUUAAAGAAAGCGUAAUAGCUCACUGGUCGAGUCGGCCUGCGCGGAAGAUGUAACGGGGCUAAACCAUGCACCGAAGCUGCGGCAGCGACACUAUGUGUUGUUGGGUAGGGGAGCGUUCUGUAAGCCUGCGAAGGUGACCUGUGAGGGUUGCUGGAGGUAUCAGAAGUGCGAAUGCUGACAUAAGUAACGAUAAAGCGGGUGAAAAGCCCGCUCGCCGGAAGACCAAGGGUUCCUGUCCAACGUUAAUCGGGGCAGGGUGAGUCGACCCCUAAGGCGAGGCCGAAAGGCGUAGUCGAUGGGAAACAGGUUAAUAUUCCUGUACUUGGUGUUACUGCGAAGGGGGGACGGAGAAGGCUAUGUUAGCCGGGCGACGGUUGUCCCGGUUUAAGCAUGUAGGCUGGUUGUCCAGGCAAAUCCGGAUAAUCAAGGCUGAGGUGUGAUGACGAGGCACUACGGUGCUGAAGUAACAAAUGCCCUGCUUCCAGGAAAAGCCUCUAAGCAUCAGGUAACAUCAAAUCGUACCCCAAACCGACACAGGUGGUCAGGUAGAGAAUACCAAGGCGCUUGAGAGAACUCGGGUGAAGGAACUAGGCAAAAUGGUGCCGUAACUUCGGGAGAAGGCACGCUGGUGUGUAGGUGAAGUCCCUGCGGAUGGAGCUGAGACCAGUCGAAGAUACCAGCUGGCUGCAACUGUUUAUUAAAAACACAGCACUGUGCAAACACGAAAGUGGACGUAUACGGUGUGACGCCUGCCCGGUGCCGGAAGGUUAAUUGAUGGGGUUAUCCGUAAGGAGAAGCUCUUGAUCGAAGCCCCGGUAAACGGCGGCCGUAACUAUAACGGUCCUAAGGUAGCGAAAUUCCUUGUCGGGUAAGUUCCGACCUGCACGAAUGGCGUAAUGAUGGCCAGGCUGUCUCCACCCGAGACUCAGUGAAAUUGAACUCGCUGUGAAGAUGCAGUGUACCCGCGGCAAGACGGAAAGACCCCGUGAACCUUUACUAUAGCUUGACACUGAACAUUGAGCCUUGAUGUGUAGGAUAGGUGGGAGGCUUUGAAGCGUGGACGCCAGUCUGCGUGGAGCCAACCUUGAAAUACCACCCUUUAAUGUUUGAUGUUCUAACGUUGGCCCCUUACCGGGGUUGCGGACAGUGUCUGGUGGGUAGUUUGACUGGGGCGGUCUCCUCCCAAAGCGUAACGGAGGAGCACGAAGGUUAGCUAAUCCUGGUCGGACAUCAGGAGGUUAGUGCAAUGGCAUAAGCUAGCUUGACUGCGAGCGUGACGGCGCGAGCAGGUGCGAAAGCAGGUCAUAGUGAUCCGGUGGUUCUGAAUGGAAGGGCCAUCGCUCAACGGAUAAAAGGUACUCCGGGGAUAACAGGCUGAUACCGCCCAAGAGUUCAUAUCGACGGCGGUGUUUGGCACCUCGAUGUCGGCUCAUCACAUCCUGGGGCUGAAGUAGGUCCCAAGGGUAUGGCUGUUCGCCAUUUAAAGUGGUACGCGAGCUGGGUUUAGAACGUCGUGAGACAGUUCGGUCCCUAUCUGCCGUGGGCGCUGGAGAAUUGAGGGGGGCUGCUCCUAGUACGAGAGGACCGGAGUGGACGCAUCACUGGUGUUCGGGUUGUCAUGCCAAUGGCACUGCCCGGUAGCUAAAUGCGGAAGAGAUAAGUGCUGAAAGCAUCUAAGCACGAAACUUGCCCCGAGAUGAGUUCUCCCUGAGACUUUAAGUCUCCUGAAGGAACGUUAAAGACGAUGACGUUGAUAGGCCGGGUGUGUAAGCGCAGCGAUGCGUUGAGCUAACCGGUACUAAUGAACCGUGAGGCUUAACCUUACAACGCCGAAG
rnacentral:rRNA from 1 species